UGCGUAGGUGGCUUAUCAAGCCAGGGGUGAAAGGCAUUGGCUCAACCAAUGUAAGCCUUUGGAACUGAUAGGCUUGAGUGCAGGAGAGGUAAGUGGAAUUCCUAGUGUAGAGGUGAAAUUCGUAGAUAUUAGGAGGAACACCAGUGGCGAAGGCGACUUACUGGACUGUAACUGACACUGAGGCACGAAAGCGUGGGGAGCGAACAGGAUUAGAUACCCUGGUAGUCC
rnacentral:rRNA from 1 species